rnacentral:rRNA from 1 species
AAGUGGGAAACGAUGUGGGAAGGCCCAGACAGCCAGGAUGUUGGCUUAGAAGCAGCCAUCAUUUAAAGAAAGCGUAAUAGCUCACUGGUCGAGUCGGCCUGCGCGGAAGAUGUAACGGGGCUAAACCAUGCACCGAAGCUGCGGCAGCGACGCUGAUGCGUUGUUGGGUAGGGGAGCGUUCUGUAAGCCUGCGAAGGUGGCCUGUGAGGGUUGCUGGAGGUAUCAGAAGUGCGAAUGCUGACAUAAGUAACGAUAAAGCGGGUGAAAAGCCCGCUCGCCGGAAGACCAAGGGUUCCUGUCCAACGUUAAUCGGGGCAGGGUGAGUCGACCCCUAAGGCGAGGCCGAAAGGCGUAGUCGAUGGGAAACGGGUUAAUAUUCCCGUACUUGGUGUUACUGCGAAGGGGGGACGGAGAAGGCUAUGUUGGCCGGGCGACGGUUGUCCCGGUUUAAGCGUGUAGGUGUGUGUUCCAGGUAAAUCCGGUUCACUUUAACACUGAGGCGUGAUGACGAGGCACUACGGUGCUGAAGCAACAAAUGCCCUGCUUCCAGGAAAAGCCUCUAAGCAUCAGGUAACAUCAAAUCGUACCCCAAACCGACACAGGUGGUCAGGUAGAGAAUACCAAGGCGCUUGAGAGAACUCGGGUGAAGGAACUAGGCAAAAUGGUGCCGUAACUUCGGGAGAAGGCACGCUGACACGUAGGUGAAGUGAUUUACUCAUGGAGCUGAAGUCAGUCGAAGAUACCAGCUGGCUGCAACUGUUUAUUAAAAACACAGCACUGUGCAAACACGAAAGUGGACGUAUACGGUGUGACGCCUGCCCGGUGCCGGAAGGUUAAUUGAUGGGGUCAGCGCAAGCGAAGCUCCUGAUCGAAGCCCCGGUAAACGGCGGCCGUAACUAUAACGGUCCUAAGGUAGCGAAAUUCCUUGUCGGGUAAGUUCCGACCUGCACGAAUGGCGUAAUGAUGGCCAGGCUGUCUCCACCCGAGACUCAGUGAAAUUGAACUCGCUGUGAAGAUGCAGUGUACCCGCGGCAAGACGGAAAGACCCCGUGAACCUUUACUAUAGCUUGACACUGAACAUUGAGCCUUGAUGUGUAGGAUAGGUGGGAGGCUUUGAAGUGUGGACGCCAGUCUGCAUGGAGCCGACCUUGAAAUACCACCCUUUAAUGUUU